rnacentral:lncRNA from 1 species
UUAUGGCCGCUGGGGAGUUGGGAGAGCCAGGCUGGGGCUUCGGCAGGCCCAGGGAAAGUUCCCUUUCUAGGCUCUUUAUUAAAAAAUUUAAAAGGAGGAGUCGAGGCGCCUUGAAUUUUCCUUCGCGAGUUUGGAGACUAGCCGAUUUUUCAUGAAGCAAGCAAAGACCGCGGUCCCGGAUCCUGCAACAUCUACCUCAUUCUCUCCAGGCCUCUCCACUUGCCCGAGCUCUCAGCCACCAGGAGACAGAAGGAAGGGACUUCUGGGCUGCGUUGGGAGCGGGCACUGUCCCCUAUCCACUCCUGCUCGGUUUCCCAAAGUCCAGCGACAUCCGACCCUCCUGGGGGGAAAAAUACCAAUACCCAGACACCUCUGCACCCUGUUAUAUGACUGGGCUUGCUUCAGGAAUAUCUUACAAAGAAGAAGAAGAAGAAGAAAGAACGGCUUGGAGUCAUGUUUACAUCUAGUUCUACUGAUCGGUUCCCAUCUGGAGAGUUUAUUUAUAACUCCCUCUAUAACUCUCUGUUUGGAGGCACUGGUGGCUCUAUUGACAGACUGAUGUCUAGGAAAUAUUGCUCUAUGUCUAACCGUACCUAAAUGUGCUGUGGUUGUAUUUACAGAUUUAUGUUUGAAGGAAAUAUAAUUAUUUCCAUUGUAUUUGUGCAUAUACAGUAGUUAUAGGAGCAGAUUUAUAUAUGGGAAAAUAUACGACUCUCUUACAGCCAUCCGGCUUUAUGUACAUGUGAUAUCCUGACAGAUUUAUAUCUCUGAACAGCUAUAUAGAUAAAAACGUAUAUUGUUAGAAUUAUGUAUCAGGAGAUAUAUACUUAUUGAUUGUGAAAUAGAGUAGUUAGAGCAUUCACUUAGAGCCAUAUAUGGCUAUGGAGAUAUUUCUAUAUUAUUAUCACUAUAUAUAGGCAUAUCUAUUUAUAACUACCUAGUUAUAAAAACAGACAUAAAUAAUUAUAGUCCUAUAUGUGCAUGCUGCAAUCUCUCUCUAGAGUUAUAGACACUUUCAAAUAUAACUCUAUAGAGAGAUCUGUAUGUAUAUAAGGUGUAAUUAUCUUGUGAUGUUUUUACGUUGGGACUUAGGCCCGUCUGUCUAGAACAGACAUAUUUAUAUAUAGGGGCUGGGAGAGACUUGUUCACAGAUAUCUGCAGAGGGCCAACUGGAAACACUGUAUCUGCCCUCUAGGAAACCAGCUAGGAGAGUUGUGUACUUAUGGAGGGAUGGAGUUACAAAAG